GCUUCAAGUACUGAAGAAGCAGUUGCCCAUGGUCUUGGGGAAAUCUUCAGUUCAUCCAGCACAUGUGCUUGUACCCGCUUCCGCUGCGCCUCUCUACGUCACAUGAUCAACCUGCCAAGGGUAUUACUCACAUCACGAAGUACCGCACUACAUACUCACCUGUCAUGACCAAGAUGCCUCGCAUGCCAACUUUCUGUGCACCAUCAAUAUCAUCACGUACAUCCUGUGGGCA